UCUGCCCUCUUCGGGGGCCCCCACUAACCUCCCAAGUUCAGGGUCAAGGGGGCUCUCAGGCUGGCCCCUUUCCCCCACACCCAGCCACCACCAGCCCCAAGUUUUUCCCCUAGUUCUAGAAAGUGCCCCUUGAUGACUGCCUAAGUGGAUCCCCUCCCUCUUGGACCCCUUCGCCUUAUCCCCUUGGAGACCCCGGUGACUGUUCUCCCUAGGAGGACCUCCUGACUUCCCCAGUUCAGUCCAGAAGGGGCUCUAAAUCUCCCCUUUCUCCCCCACACCCAGUCACCUACAGCACCAUGUGUAUCCUCCUAUGCCCCCACUUGGAAAAUGCCCCUCAAACUCCAGUGUUGAGGGGGAUUUUCUCCCCUGCAAAGCCAAGUAUGACCUGUCUGUCCCCUGGUGGACCCCCGCUUGGUUCCCUGGAUUCAAGCCAGUUAAGGGGGCCCUCUGGCUGUCCCCUCCCCCACAGAUUCAUCCAACGGUAUCGAAUCGAUUUCCUCCCAUCACUUCCCAGCUAGACCUAUAAAGUGCCUCUGCCACAGGGGGCCAGAACCCCCACAUCACUGGACGGGUCCCAGAGAUUCCUGGGCUGCUAGGAGUGGCACCUGGCUUUCUUGGCUUUUGGAGGGACUUCACUUUUCGCUUCCUACUCUCAAUCCACCAUCAAUCCCUGUUUCAAACAGACCUUAAACAGCCUCGCUCCCCAUCUGAAAAGUGGUCCUGGACCCUUGACUGGGGGGGGGGGAAGUCCUAUAUAGAUCCGAGUGUGUUUGGAGCAGGGACCCCUUCAGCGGAGGACUUCCCAGGCUCCCUACAUACCACAUUCUCUUUGCCCUCAGCAUCCUUCAAGUAAACCCAGCCUGCCAGAGAGAAUUGGGGAGGGGGUGUUAUAGAUUCCCAUCAUGUCCGUACCCCAAACCCUCCUAAAGCAUCGCCUAUCCGGGCCGAGAAGUGGGAAGGGUUGUCCAAUUCUAGCCCGCCUUAACAGCUCCAGAUCCGAUCCAGUCUCCUAGCCUUUGCCUAGGCCUCAUCAUUUCAUCACCUCUCCUAAUUGGUUCAUCACGUCCCUCUUCAGUUCGUCCUCCACACGACUGGCAAAAUGAUUUAGCGUCUCAAGGCGACUCUCCUCAGCUCAAUAAACUCCUUAGCUCCCCUUCACUACCUAGCUGCCCUCAUACCGAA